GACAGAGGCUGGGAAGCUCUGGUCUCUGCGGGGGCCAGGGGGGAAUACAUCAGCAUUUGCCCCGGGGACCGUGGGUUUCGGGUUUAACCCCCGACCCACUGAACACCUGCGUGGGACAGCCCCCGGGACAGGGACAGCUUCCCUCUUGGUUUUAAUACCUUGUAUUCUUUGUCGUUCCUUCCCCGUACGGAUUUAGUGGCCGGUGACAGGCUGCUUCUGCCAGUCCUCCGUCUCCCAGGCUUCUGCAGUUUUCCUUCAUCUCGGUUUAACUGAAAGUGUGCAUCCUAGCAGAUAUUUUAAGGAAAUCUCUCUCUCUCACACUUCAGAUUUUGGAGACUGCAAGAGGAAAUGCUGCUCAGUCUCAAUCUGGCCUCUGGCAUUGGUGUUUGGAGGGGUUUGGAGAGCUGUCCCAGUGUCACUGUGCACAGAAUUCUUUCUCUCAGUUUGUGACAGUGCUUUUUCUGGCCAGUGAACUUGAUUUGUGAGUGCAUGUGCAACUGCUGAAGAUCUUACAGAUUUUAAAGAAGAGGAGAACAGGACAGCCUGGAUCCCAUCUAGUUGUUUAAGUACUUCCACUGCUUAAAAAUAAAAAAUGAAGGUGAUCCGUCAGUAACUUUCUAAGGAACAUUCAUUCAAAGGUGUGAAACGUCAGCCAGCAUACCAGGUCAUGACAAGCUGCAGGCUGUACUUGGCGGAGACCCCACCACUACCCUGCACUACUGUGGAUGUCUCCGAAGAGCCCAAGCCACAGGCCCCUGCCAUGAACAGGAAGGAGGAGGAGCAGGAGAGAGAUGACAGAAGGAGCCAGGACCUGCCUGAGACACCUGCACUGUCUAGCCAGUCCUGCCAGCUGAGCAUGGACUAACCUGUUGAAGGGGAAGGGACCUCAGGAGCUGUUGCUGUUAUGGGGCCUUGAGGGGUCCCCCCUCCACACCCACAGAUCACUUGACCCUGAUGAGGAGAAAGAAGAGGACUAGGGAGGAUAUACUGAGUGAGGUCCUGCAAGCUGGUGCUGCAUCAGAUUGUGAACAAAGGGCCUGGAGGGCUGAUGGCAUGGAGAGGGAAAAAGUGGAGAGAAGAAAGCCCAGGAAUGCCAGCAGGGAGAGGGGGAGAUACACCAAGACUUAAUGGGUCUCUUCAGGGAGCAAAUUAAAAUGCUGCAGACUCUGGUUUACCAACAGGUCCAAAUAUCCCAGACUCACCUUUGCAGACCUUGGAGAACUCCAUGGUAUCUCCCUGUACCCCCGCCCCCGCAACAUACCACGUGGCAUCCCGGGCUGCAUCUCUACCCUUACCACUCCACAGGGGGACACAGCAAGGAAAACCACAGCUUCACACAUGCACUGACCCAUGAGAACCACGACUGGUGUACCUGUAGCCACAACAGACUACAUUUGUGCACUCAGAUGGGCAGAAAUAUCAAGCCUAGUGGUUCGAGCAAGAGUUGGUAGCCGGCAAUAGGAGCCCAGGGUCAGAGCUGGAGUCAGAGGCCAAAUGCCAGAGCUGGAGUCCGAAGUUAGGAAUUGGAGCCAAGGGUCAGAACUGAGUUACCUGGCGUGAGGCAAGAGAGGGGCAAGGCUUGGCACAAGGCAGGAGCAAGAGCUACCUCAGCCAUGGGAGAAUGCUUUGAGCAGCUGCCAAAAUACUGCUGCUGCUGGUCUUAAGGGUUGAUCUGGUGACUCUUCCCACCAAUCAGGCAGUGUGGCCACUGGGCAGCCCACUGCAUGCCAGCUGCAUUCCUUAUGUUGCCCGGAGACUGGUUCUGCUGCAGACGAUUCCUGACAACACCAAUGAUAUGAGGUAACCAAAGUUUGUAGUGUAGACGUGGCCUUAGUCUUUUAAGUUGCUGUAGGUCUGUAGCUGAACAACACCCUUCUUUUCUCAGUGCUAGUCUUUCAUUCUGUUUGGCUGCAGACUGGACAUGAUGGCAAUGUUUCUGGUUUUUUGUUGUUGUUGUUGUUUUUUAAAGCUGUCUUUAGAAAACAAAGGGCUAUAUACACUGUUAUUUCUACCCCAUCCCCACCCCCCCCCCCGUUCCCUCCUCUGCAAGAAAGCUCAGAUUCUGAAGAAUAGCAAAAAUCUAUGAAAGACCUCAAAUUUGCUAUUUCCAUGGCAUGGAUGUGUAUUGUUUGUAGUGAUGAUGGUCAUAAAAGCCAUGUUUCUGAAAUAAAAGUGAUAAUUUCUAUCUCAGAUGUUACCUUUUCUUGUUAGUGUUCUGCAGCAUGAUUAUGGUGAAUGGUGUUGUUUCAAAUAAAAGUUAUGAAAUGCUACUGGCUGACUUGUAAAAGACAAAGGCUUGACUACUGGCUAGUGCAUAAUUCCUCUUUUGCUAACUAGCUUUUGUGAUAUUUACAUUAUUUUGUGAUACUCUGGUGGAAGCCUGAAGUUGGAAAUGUUAAAGUUCUUUCACAAUUCGUUAGUUUGUAGGUAUCUCUGUUAUGAUGUUUACACAAUGCAUGACUCAUAAGCUAAAUGAAUAUGCCAGCCUAAUAGUGCAGCCUAUAGCGAAACCUGAUGCCAUUACAUAAAAGCAUGGCAGUUGUUCAUACUUGUGCUAUUACUUGAUGAAGUACUUGCCCACUGGAAAUGUGCGUGCCGUAGGUUACUUAAAUGUGCUGUGUUUUUAUAAGAUUUUUCUGAAAUAGGUAGUGUUUUACAAUAAUGGAUUGUCCUCCUUUUCUCCACCCUUUAUUGUACUAUACCCCUUAUUGUUCGGUUUAAGUUCUACAGCUCUUUUGAGUGCAUAAUUUGGAACUGAGGCCUGGGCUACACUGAAAAUUUACAUCUGCAUAGCUGCGUCUCUCAGAGGAGUAAAAAAUCCACGAUCCUGAGAGACGUAGCUAUGCCGAUGUAAACCUAGGUGUAGACAGUGUUAGGGCCUGGUGUACACUAGGAAAUUAGUUUGGUAUAAUUAUGUUGCUCAGAGGUGUGAAAAAUCCACACCCUUGAACUAUGUAGCUUAAACCAAUUUAACCCCUGGUGUAGACAGCGCUAGAUCGAUGGGAGAAUUCUCCCAUUGACCUAACUACCGCCUGUCAGGGAGGUGGAUUACCUACCCUGACGGGCAAACCCCUUCCAUUGGCGUAGGUAGUGUUGUCACUGCAGCUGUGCAGCUUUAGCAUUUUAAGUGUAGACAUACAGAAUGUACCAGCAUUUCUGAGGGCUUGUCUACACUACCAAAUUUUGUUGAUAAAACUUAUGUUGACACCCAAAAGUCGACAAAACAAAAAUCGCCAAAGGGUGUUCACACUUGCUCCCUCUGUCGACAGAUCAUGUCCACACUGGAGACACGUCAUCAACAGGGUGAGCAAUGCACUGUGGGUAUGUAUCCCACAGAGCAGUGUUGUGGGAAGGAAGAGCUGACCGCUGCGUAUCUUGGGAUUCUCUCCGAGUUCUCCCACAGCCUCCUCAGCUGCCAAGAGCAGCAUCAUGACUAGCUCUGUGAGCUCUCCGUGCUGAGGAAGGGCAAAGCAGCACAGCAGUCUGUCCUCCUCCCCUUACAGCAGCCAUCUGCCUGCUGCUGUGUUCCUAGCGCAGGGCAGAACAGGAGGAUUCCAAUUAUUUGCUCUUUGUAUGUUCCCCAAACGGAGCAGCACACAGAUAGUUCCUGGAGCUUUGAAAGGGGAGGGCCGCAUGCCUGCAGGGCAGCAGAGAUCAAAAUACAGAGCAGAGCAAUCAGGGCAGGCAUUGUGGGAUACUGGCGGAAGCCAGUUCUGUCGACAAAACAGUCAGCAGUGUCUACACUGGCUCUUUGUCGACAAUAAAGGGAGGGGAAAAGACAAAAGUCUCUCAUGGGGUGGAAGAUUUUUUUGUCGCCAAAACUGGGCAUUUUUCGCAACAAAAGUCCCAUUGUAGUGUGUACGCUCUUGCUGUUUUGUUGCCAAAAGCCAGUUUUUGGCAACAAAACUUGUUAGUGUAGCAAGGCCUGAAGGUAAAGCAGCAGCAGUUUUCUUCCCCUACUCCUUUUAAAGGCUAUUUCAUGUGUAUUGAUAAAAUUAAAUAUUAAUUUUUAUUUCUUGUAACCCGUAUCUUUAUAAUAAUGCUGACUGAUGUAAAUACCUUUAUUUGGCAAGUUGGCAGCCCAGACCUAAAGAUACUUUUAAUGUGGAAACACUUGAUACCAUCCAUAUCUUACUAGUUACCUUAGUUCUCAUUAAGCUCUGCUUUUCUUGCUCGCUGAUUUAAUUUCUUCUAGUUUUUUUAAAUAAAAAUCUUGAUCUCAAAGGUGUAAAACAAGUUCACCUAUUUAGAAUACUUUAUGUAAACAAUUUUGCUUUUGUAUAAUAUACAGUACAUACAACCAUGUUGCAGCACUGCAAGAAACAGGCUCAAAACAAGUUACUGGUCCAGAAUUUACAUUUCUAAAAUGUUUCUUACACAAGCUACCAUUAUAUCAGAUAUACCUGUUUAGACUGCAAGCUUUUCGCAGCACAGAUGGUGUAUUCCUAUACGUCUAUAUAGGGCCUAGCACUUUUGGGGCACUUACUGUAAUAUCAAUAAUUACCAGAAAGCAAUGACAUUCUUCAGUUUUUAAAAGUGAAUUUACAAAUAUGAAAUGCUGGGAACUCCUGUUCCAGGCUACUGGAUGAAUUUCAGACACCCCUGUGAUGGCUGCAGUAUUAGUCUAACAGACAGAUUUAAAAAGGGGUCUUAUUAAUGAGUUAGGGCAACCCAUCAGCUAGAAAAAAUGUAUUGCUACAACAUGUUAGGCUGGUGGUCAUUAUCACCUGGUGGAUGUAGAUGCAGGAACUGGUGCAAUUCUUAUAUGUCAUGUAAUGUUUAAACGUUAUAGGGCAGCCAAUCUGAAAAAAAUCAUAAAAUCACAAAAAAGACUAUAACUCAAAGAUACAGAGUCUAAUUUUCACCAAAAUUGGCAGAAAGCUCCUCAACACAAUUGAUAAUGCUCAGAAUAGGCGUGUUUGGGAAAUACUUAGCCGCAGGUGAUAUUUUAUGCUUUCUCCCGUAUAUUUUUUACCUUCAGUUAAAGCAAAAGUCUGUAGUCACGUGACAGUCUGAGCUUGUUUGUACCAUGUUCCAGUGUGGUUAUGUGAAUUAUGCUAGACGGGGUUGUGUACAUGUAGCAGAAGCCAGACUUCUAGAGGAGAAACCGUGUAAUAUAACAUGCCCUAAUUGAUAGUCAGGGAGCAGUAUACCAUACUACCAGACCCUUCAGUGGCGUACGACAUGACAGCCAUUGAGCAAUUUCUCAACAAGGACUGUGUGAAGCAUCAGCAUCUUUACACAAAAGAUAAGGCUCUGACCAAGCAUUUCCUGACUGCACAUUUUAAGGCAGCUGUAACAGCUAUGACAAAAUAAAUGUGUAGAGUGCAUCCUUGAGCACAGAUCUCCACAAAGAAGCUACCACAAAGCGCAGGGUUGCAGAUGAAACUGCUGUUGAAGUUAUUAAAAAAUUUGUGACUGAAAGAAUGGCAAAUACUUUUAGCAUUGAACCUGGAUCAAGCCCAGACAACAGCCAGCCACUUGUGUACAUUGCAACAUCUACUGGGGCCCCACCUGAAAUUGCAGAAAGUUUGUGCAUAAGAGAGAAUGGCACACAAGAAAUGAAGCAGUCUGUAACCAGGCUGCUCCAAAGGGGUGAGGUAGACCUCUUUGAUCCCAUAAAAACGUAUCAUGUCAAAUCAUUUGCUAAUCUCAAUAAGUCAAUCAAACAAAAGAAGCAGAGAGCACAAGCAAUAACUGUUGAUUGCCAGAUAUUGAGCAAGUGGACAGUUAUUGCCCAGUCCAGAGAUGUUGAUAUCCAGGGUUUGUUGAAGCAUGAGCUCCCACCUGUCCAGCUUUCCUUCUUCAUCUUGGUUGGAUCUCUAAGAAAGACUCAAAAAUUAAAAAAAAAGAAAAAGAAAAAAAGAACUAGACAUGGAGGAUAGGUCCAUUAAUGGCUAUUAGACAGUGUCAAGGUUCCUUCCCCACACUGAACUCUAAGGUACAGAUGUGGGGACCUGCAUGAAAGACCGCCUAAGCUUAUUGUUACCAGCUUAGGUUAAAACUUCCCCAAGGUACAAACUUUUACCUUUUGUCCUUGAACCUUUAUGCUGCCACCACCAAAGAGUCUAACAAAAAUAACAGGGGAAGUGCCCACCUGGAAACGUCUCCCCCCCAAAAAUAUCCCCCCAAGCACUACACCGCCUUUUCUGGAGAAGGCUUGAUAAAAAUCCUCACCAAUUUGCAUAGCUGAACACAGACCCAAACCCUUGGAUCUUAAGAACAAUGAAAAAGCUAUCAGGUUCUUAAAAGAAGAAUUUUAAUUAAAGAAAAAGUAAAAGACUCACCUCUGUAAAAUCAGGAUGGUAAAUACCUUCCAGGGUAAUCAGAUUCAAAACAUAGAGAAUCCCUCUACUUACAAAAAGACACAAAAACAGGAAUAUACAUUCCAUUCAGCACAACUUCCAUUCCCCCCUCCCCCCUCCAGCUUUGAAAGUAUCUUGCCUCCUCAUUUGUUAUUUUGGUCAGGUGCCAGCAAGGUUAUCUUAGCUUCUUAACCCUUUACAGGUGAAAGGGUUUUUCCUCUGGCCAGGAAGGAUUUAAAGGUGGUUAGCCUUCCCUUUAUAUUUAUGACAGACAGGAUGGGCAGGGAUGGCGUCCCCAGCCUCUGUUUGCCAGAAGCUGGGAAUGGGCAAUGGAAUGGAUCAGUUGAUGAUUCCCUGUUCUGUUCAUUCCUUCUGAAGCACCUGACAUUGGCCACUGUUUGAAGACAGGAUCCUGGGCUAGCAGGUUGCUCCAGCACUACUGGUUCAGUUUCAGUUUCUGAGAGUAUCUCAUCUUUAUUAGGAAAGAUCAGGCUCAAGGUAGGAAUCUCCCCAAUAUUCUCAGUAAAUAAUUGUUUAUUCCUUGCCCCCCCAUGCCCUUCUCCCAUGCCAGAAGUUCUGUGUCUCCUCAUUCCCCACCUUUCCCUCCAUGCCAGGGCUCUCUGGGCCCCACAUUUCUCCCUUUGCCAAGUGCCAGGGUCCCCCAAGUUACCCUCCUCCCAUACCAUUGUCCCCUGUAAUCAAUAAGGUUCUACCCAUUGAUGCCUAGAACGCUCUCUGAAAUGUUGAAAUUGUGGCGUUCAAAAGUUACUGUGUUGCAUCCACACAGAGAAAUGCCAUCAGGAUGAAUGUAAGGCAUGCAAGCUUGGCCAAUUAAUUAAAUAUAAUGAAAAUAAGUUUAUAGACUUUUAUUUAAUUGGGAAACCCACACAGUAGCUUCCUCUCCAUGCUCUUGUCUUACUGGGUUUAUUACAAAGAAGGGAAUUCCCUUCUGGAUAUAGUAAGUUUUGAAGUGAGCCAAAACUCAGUGGCAUGCUGUACUGGCACUUCUGUGGUGGCCCCAGAGGUUUUAACCUUUCAUUUAAAAAAAAAAAAAUCUAGCUCUUAUUGAUGAAAAGAUACGCUUCAAAAUGUGAAUAUAUGUAGUGCUGUUUUCUUGAGUCUGCAGAUACAGAUUGAAAGAACAACCCUAAGAGAGGUGGAAACUGACCCCCUCCUCCCCAGUUAAUUUUAAUGGGUUACUAACUGAAGCUUAGUAGCAAUGAAAAUGUCAGCAUGAACUAUUAAAGUGCUGGUCACUUUUGCAGAAAUCUCAAAUCUUUCUGAGAUUAUUGCCUGAGUUCUCCCCACCCCUACCUUUGCUGUUCUAGGGAUAUUGAAAAGUACUGAAGCCAUGUUAAGCUUUUCUUUGGUGGCAUAGGGUCUCUUAGCUAUUGACGAGCAAGUUGGAUUUCUUGCAAUCCCUGUUAUUUGUGUCUCUCUCCUCUGUGUGUGUGUGUGUGUGUGUGCAUGUGAAGAAUGCUGCAUAUGUCAGAUUUCCCUCAUGUUAUUUUGUUAAUUAUUCCUCACCAGGGUCCUCUCCAUGCUGGUUGGGGGCCCCUGAAGAUUCUCUGUGUUUUUCCCUGCAUUGCACAAGGCUCUUUUCAUACCAGCUUCCCCUGUGAGAAGGGCUAGAUGCAAUUCUCUUUGGAGCCAAUUAGGGCUGUUCCUAUGAGUUGACAUGAGCAACUCAUUCCCUUCUAGGGACAGAGGAUGACAUUCACCAUUGUGCAGCGGGUCAGCACAAGGUGUUAUGCACCAGUGAAGUCCCACUUAAGCCCUCUUGCUAGGUAACAUUUAAAUGGUGUUUAAUGGUGCCUAGCAAGAAGGCUGAUGUGGUGGAUAGGCCUUGGAAUGGCCAUCUGCAUGUGGGUGAAAUAGGUGUUUUGCCUCCUCCACAACUUUCCCAGCUCCUGUUAGUUUAGGGAGCAAGGCACAAGAAGCCAUGUUAUAAGAACAUAUGCCAGCUGGUUACCACCUCUGUAAGUAUGCAAGAACAGCCAUACUGGGUCAGAUCAAAGGUCCAUCUAGCACAGUAUCCUAUCUUCUGACAGUGGCCAAUGCCAGGUGCCCCAGAGGGAUGAACAGAACAGGUAAUCAUCAAGUGAUCCAUUCCCUGUCACUCAUUCCCAGUUUCUGGCAAAUUAUAAGCCCAGGUCUAUUGCAAAGUAGCUGGCCUAAAUUGACUAAUAACUGUGUAAUGAGUUUUAAGCAGUGUUGGAGUACUCCUGCCACACAGGAGACUGCUUCCACUUAGAGAUUUUUAUUAAAAUAUUGGGACUUAACAUAGGUUGGGAAAAUUCCAAUAUUGAUUUUUGAUUCUCCAUUGAAUGUUCUGCUACAAAUUAUUUUCUAGCUGUUAUUAUUUAAUCAGGGUUUAUUGUAUCAUUAUUUGAUUAAAAUUAUCAAAAGUUAAAAAUCAGCAAUGAGUUUCUUUAAUUUAAUUCUGUGUCACAUUGGAUUGUCACAAAUUACUUUUUUUAAAUCUCUCAUCUUUAAAUACAGCUUCUUCUUAGGGUAGUGCCCUGCCAAGCAAAGCUACCACAAAUAUGCCAGUUGGUUACCACCUCCAAAAGUAUGCAAAAUUAUUGGCCAAGCUUCUGAGUCCCUGCAUUCAACUUGAUGGGAUUGCUUUCUGUCUGUCUGAAUGUAAUGUGAUACCUUGCCACCUGUUUAGCAGUACCAGGGCUUCAACCACCUCUGCAGUUGUCUAUAGAUCAAAGACCUGGCUCCCAUGCAGAACAAAGAGAAAUAAGAAUGGUGGAGGGAAGGAGGCAUAUACAGCCCCAUGGCAUGGUGGGGAGAAUGGAGGACCCUUGUAUGGGGAAGAGGAAAAGAGAGGAUUGUAGAGAACCCCAGGCAGGGUGGAGACUGAGUAACCGUGAUAUGCAGGGGAAGGGGAAAAUGGGGAGUGAACAUAGCCCCUGGCAUGAGUGAUGGGAUGUAGCGGGGAGUUGCAGCAAGUUCCUGAAAUAGAGGGGGAAGGGAGGGUGGAACACUGGGAGCUUAUGGGUGAGAAUGGAGGGAUGCAAGGAGCCCCUAGUGUGUGUAGUGAGGUCAGCCUAAAAAAGCAACAAAGUGUGUGACCUCCUAAUUUAUACAGUGCCCAAAACUGUACUAGGUGCUUGACUGACAUGUAAGAAUAAUAGUCUAAAACGAGAUUACAAUCUAAAAAGUCUGCAUACAAAUAAGCACAGACAAAGGCCAGCAGAAGCCUUCCUUUAAAAAAAAAAACCUAGGAAAAUAAAUACAAAAAACUGUCUCUAAUGUAACUUUUGGUUACACAGUUAAAUGUGUCGGGAGGUGACAGAGUUAAGGCUGAAUGCACAGAUACAGUUGCACCUCCUUGUACAUGUGAAUAAUGAUAAUAUAAUUACAAGAUCACAUACUGUUUCUCAAAUAAUAGAAUAGUUUUACAACCGUGUGUAUAUGUCAUCUUGUAUUGUGCACAACUUUGUAUAUGUCACAGUUUAUUAGUCAUUUAUAUGAAAAGAACGUAGAAAACCAUAUUUAAAGAACUAUACUGAAGUGUAAUUAUCUGAUCUAUUACACAUCCUAGCAUGUGAGUGCCUUCCAAAAUUAUAAAAUAUAUUCAAAGAUAUGUUGCUCUUUUUUCUCUCCAGUCAUUGGAGACUGGACUUGUUUUACUCUUUUAUUGAUUAGUUUGUUUGGUUUGUGGUGUCACAGUGAGAAAGGCUAAGUUGUAGAAGGGGCUCUUGGAUUUUGCUGCUGUUUGUGGUCAAUUUACAGCAGUAGUGAAGAGCGCUACAUACCAACGUGUGUUUACAAUUAAAUUACAAAGUCAACUCUUCUAAUAACUAAGUCAUACUCCAUAAUACUUCAUUGAUGCAAUUCUCUUGCUCAUUCUGGUCCUAACUGAUCAGCUGGGAAUUCCCCCAACAUGGGGGAGCUCUUGGCUAGCAUGUCCUUAUGAGAACGGUUCCUCCACUCUGGCAUAGGGGCCAUAUCUGGGUUGAGGGGGAAUCUGUCAAGCCAGGAGAAAUGUGCCUGCAAUCUACCCAUGGCAUACGGUUCCUUGGGGGGACCAUAGCCAGCUGGUAUAAGUUAGAACAGUCUCUGGGCUUCUUUAACAUGAUAUGGGGCUGAGGCAACUUGAAAAUCAGGGAGUCAUAACCUGAAAAAAAGAGUUUUCUAUUUGCUUUGUACAACUAGUGUUAAAAUAAAUAUUCAUAACUUUCAAAUCACUAGUAUGCAAGUAUAAAUUUUGUUCAUAAUAAAUUAUCAUAAGAAAGUGAAAAAAUUCUGUUUAAAUGUAUAGUACAUAUGCAAAGGUUGAAAUAGUAAAAUUCCUAGUACCAUUAUAGAGAAGAGAGCUUAUAUCAAAAGUUUUUCACAAGAUAUACUGGACCAUUAGGACUGAGAAAUUGAGUGUCCAAGAAUAACCAAAAAAAGUUACGAAAUACAUGUGCAUUUAUGGUUGUGGAUAUAUUCUAUUACGUUACACUGAGAAAUAAUUUGAUUGUGUAAUUAGACAGAUUCAUAGGACCGGUUCUAGGCACCAGGAAAGCAAGCACGUGCUUGGGGCGGCACAAUUCCUAGGGCGGCAUUCCGGCCAUCCUUUUUUUUUUUUUUUUUUGCUUGGGCAGUUGCGCUCUCGGAGCUUGGGGUGGCAAAUUUUUUUGCAUGGGGCUGCAAAAAACCUAGAGCCGGCCCUGCAGAUUCAUAAUACACAUGCACAAGGGAUCAAAGUUAAAAUUCCAUGACCAAUAUGAAAGUGGUUUUCUUCUCUGGAAUGUGACUCUUUGAAAAUGACCUCCAAGGGGUUCCAUAUUUAUUGCCGUUCAGUAAUUUCAGGUUGUUCAGGGACAGAACUGCAAUAGCCAAGGAGGGCAGUCACAUGCAGAAUUCCUUAGGAAGCACAUUGUAUAGCACUCUUACACUAUGCUGCCCAAAUACUUGCUGCCAGAUACUUACAGUCAUGCAGGGGAGGAGGCCCUGGCCAUGCUUCUUUCCUACAAGUGCCCAGUCAGCAUUAUGCCUGUAACCUCUGCGUAUGUGCGGACUUGAUGGAGGGAGGCCCCCUGAGCUGCCGUCUUUUCCCACCAAACAUGCCUAUUCAGGGGCAGCCAGAAUUUAUACUGACAUAUAUCUUCAAAUAAGGUGACCAAAACUGGACACUAUACACCAAACAUGGUCUAACAGGUUCAAUGCACAAUGUUCUGAGACAUAGCUAAUAUUCCAGUACAAAAAACUCCAUUAACAUGGAGAUAAGGCAGCUGAUACCCAUUCUGAACUAACACAAACACUAAAAAUACUAGAAAUUCUGAGUUAAAGUUCUUUUACAAAUUUUAGAGACCACUUCUUCUUUCUUACAUGAUAUUUUAGUCAAUACUGUCAUAUAUAGGUAGUCCCACUGACACCAGUUUCAGUGUUAACAGAACAGGGGCCUUAACGUCUAUGUUUGUCUUGAACUGAAAAUGAAGUGUAGUACAUUCACUCAUAAGCUUCUUUCACACAGAAAAAAAUUCUGGAUUUUAAAUUUGACUUUCGAUCAGAUAUACAAAAAGUCAUCAUCUGUUUGUAUUGGAUUUCAGAUGUUCAGGUGCCCUUGUGUGUGAAUUGGAGUAACAAUUUUAAAAAACAAAUUUCUUUCAUGAAAAGGUCCUGUUGGGUUGGAGGCCUCCAGUUUGGAAAAGUAACAAUAAUCUGAGGUCACUGAUUCUAUUUAUCAGACUUUUAUCCAAGAAAAUGUUCAUGAAUAUAUUUAUGGAGCAGGUGAUUACAAAAAUUGUUUUGAUUGCAAUGUUACAUGCUGCUGUCUAAAACAGUAUAUUUUCUCAUUGGCAGUUGCAUGUUCCACUAGGCUGGGGUGUGUUUGAUCAUGGGCUACUAUUAUUAGUUACUGGCAAAACAUUAGUACAAAGAAAGUGAAUUCAUCCUGCACACAGCAAUAUAGAACACCCAUAACUUUUAAAUGGACACAAGAAUUAAUUGUUUUUAUUAUAUCACUUUCUGACACUUUAAAUCAUAAAUAUAUCUCAAUGUUAAAAAGCUAGAGCACAUAGAAAGUGAGCAAAUGUACUACAGGUGCUAAAACUAGUAGUCAUGUUUGUCUGAAGGGGGUUAUACUACUAUCAGUUAGUAUACUAUAACUACAGUAUCUUGAUAAGACACGUUCUUCUUUAUUGCUGCAGCACACUGGACCAAGAAUACAAAUAUUGCAACUGUCAAUGAACCCACAUUCUUUUCCUUUGUUAUAAAUUAGUUUGGUGUCACUUAAUCUAUACUUGACCAUUAUGUCUAUCCAACUGCUUCUUUUGCAUUUACAUAUUUAGGUCCCAAUCCUGUCGUUGAGUCUGUGCAAGUGGACCCUUGUACCCAUGUAGAGCCCAACCAAAUUAAUAGGACUCCAAAUAAGCACACGAGUCUACUAGGCAGAUCUGAGUGCAGAAUUUGGGACUAAAUGUUAUGUUUCAUCUCUGAGUCUGUUUGCCUAAACCAUCAAGGUUAUCUUGUAAAACAACAUUGCCCUGAUGAAUCUUAGCCACUCCUUCUACUUUAGUAUAAUCACUGUACUGUAUACUCCAUGAUAUCUUCAGUCAUUUAUUCUGGAUACUUGUGGUUAAAAUAUUUGAUUUGUCUAAGUUGCCAGAUACUUUUGAUCACUGUGAUUAUUGUGUUAGUGUGUUCAUGCUUAAUUACUUCUUACCUGAGAUAUGGCAGAUGACUACUAUGUUUUUAAUAGCUGCGGUCUGAAGUCACAGUAACCAUAUCAGUACAGCUGUUUAGCUCAUGCCAUAUAUAAGGGUGUUUAUAGAUUUGUUUUUAUAUACUUUGUACAUGGAGUUCAUCUUUUAUAUUUUGGACUUUUUAUAGUGUACUAUUUUCUGUGGUCUAUUAUUACUAAAAGCUUCCAGUAUGAUGAUAGACUAUGUUGUACACAAAAUAAAAUAAAUACAAUAAGACACUGAGA